UGCGUAGGCGGCCUGGCAAGUUGGGUGUGAAAUCCCUCGGCUCAACCGAGGAACUGCGCUCAAAACUGCUAGGCUUGAGAGAGAUAGAGGUGAGCGGAACUAAUGGUGGAGCGGUGAAAUGCGUUGAUAUCAUUAGGAACACCAGUGGCGAAAGCGGCUCACUGGGUCUCAUCUGACGCUGAGGCACGAAAGCUAGGGGAGCGAACG
rnacentral:rRNA from 1 species